CUGGUCUUUCUCUUUAGUCAGGUUGUUGUAGCUGGUCUUUCUCUUUAGUCAGGUUGUUGUAGCUGGUCUGUAGCUGGUCUUUCUCUUUAGUCAGGUUGUUGUAGCUGGUCUUUCUCUUUAGUCAGGUUGUUGUAGCUGGUCUGUAGCUGGUCUUUCUCUUUAGUCAGGUUGUUGUAGCUGGUCUUUCUCUUUAGUCAGGUUGUUGUAGCUGGUCUGUAGCUGGUCUUUCUCUUUAGUCAGGUUGUUGUAGCUGGUCUUUCUCUUUAGUCAGGUUGUUGUAGCUGGUCUGUAGCUGGUCUUUCUCUUUAGUCAGGUUAUUGUAGCUGUUCUUUCUCUUUAGUCAGGUUGUUGUAGCUGGUCUGUAGCUGGUCUUUCUCUUUAGUCAGGUUGUUGUAGCUGGUCUUUCUCUUUAGUCAGGUUGUUGUAGCUGGUCUGUAGCUGGUCUUUCUCUUUAGUCAGGUUGUUGUAGCUGGUCUGUAGCUGGUCUUUCUCUUUAGUCAGGUUAUUGUUGCUGGUCUUUCUCUUUAGUCAGGUUGUUGUAGCUGGUCUGUAGCUGGUCUUUCUCUUUAGUCAGGUUGUUGUAGCUGGUCUGUAGC